CAGCAGCCGCGGGAAUACGUAGGUGGCAAGCGUUGUCCGGAAUUAUUGGGCGUAAAGGGCUCGCAGGCGGUUUCUUAAGUCUGAUGUGAAAGCCCCCGGCUCAACCGGGGAGGGUCAUUGGAAACUGGGAAACUUGAGCGCAGAAGAGGAGAGUAGAAUUCCACGUGUAGCGGUGAAAUGCGUAGAGAUGUGGAGGAACACCAGUGGCGAAGGCGUCUCUCUGGUCUGUAACUGACGCUGGGGUGCGAAAGCAUGGGGAGCAAACAGGAUCAGAUACCCCAGUAGUCCCUGUCUCUUAUCC
rnacentral:rRNA from 1 species